GACUGAAAAUCCUCGUGUCAC
rnacentral:tRNA from 1 species